GACGAACGCUGGCGGCGUGCCUAAUACAUGCAAGUAGAACGCUGAAGGAGGAGCUUGCUUCUCUGGAUGAGUUGCGAACGGGUGAGUAACGCGUAGGUAACCUGCCUGGUAGCGGGGGAUAACUAUUGGAAACGAUAGCUCAUACCGCAUAAUAGUAGAUGUUGCAUGACAUUUGCUUAAAAGGUGCAAUUGCAUCACUACCAGAUGGACCUGCGUUGUAUUAGCUAGUUGGUGAGGUAACGGCGCACCAAGGCAACGAUACAUAGCCGACCUGAGAGGGUGAUCGGCCACACUGGGACUGAGACACGGCCCAGACUCCUACGGGAGGCAGCAGUAGGGAAUCUUCGGCAAUGGACGGAAGUCUGACCGAGCAACGCCGCGUGAGUGAAGAAGGUUUUCGGAUCGUAAAGCUCUGUUGUAAGAGAAGAACGAGUGUGAGAGUGGAAAGUUCACACUGUGACGGUAUCUUACCAGAAAGGGACGGCUAACUACGUG
rnacentral:rRNA from 1 species